rnacentral:rRNA from 1 species
AUUCCAGCUGAUCCUGCUGGCGGAUACUACUAUCGAAGUCCGAUUAAGCCAUGCAAGUCUGAGAAGCAUAGUUAUGGUUGCUUCUGGCAUCCGGCUCAGUAACACGUAGCUAACCUACCCUCUAGAGGAGUCAAACCCGGGAAACUGGGCAUAAUACUUCAUAGAGAAGAGAUACUGGAAUGUUCUCUUAUCUAAAGGAAGCGCACCAUGCAAGCGUGUUCGCUCGAGGAUGGGGCUGCGGCGGAUUAGGCUGUUGGCGGGGUAACGGCCCACCAAACCAAAGAUCCGUACGGGCCUUGAGAGAGGGAGCCCGGAGAAGGGCACUGAGAUAAGGGCCCUAGCCUUAAGGGGUGCAGCAGGCGCGAAACCUUUGCAAUGCGCGAAAGCGUGACAGGGGGACUUCGAGUGUUCACUCUGUGAACUUUUGCCAAGUGUAAAUAACUUGGCGAAUAAGUGCUGGGUAAGAUGCGUGCCAGCCGCCGCGGUAAUACGUACGGCACGAGUGGUAUCCCCUAAUAUUGGGCCUAAAGAGUGCGUAGCCUGUUCAAAAAGUCUUUGGUGAAAUCAGCAAGCUUAACUUGUUGAAUGGCCAAAGAUACUCUUGGACUAGAGGCCGGAAAACGUGAAGGGAAUUUCUGGAGUAGCGGUGAAAUGUUGUGAUCCCAGAAGGACCACCAGUAGCGAAGGCGCUUCACGGGUACGGCCCUGACGGUGAGGCACGAAAGCUGAGGGAGCGACCCGGAUUAGAUACCCGGUUAGUCUCAGCCGUAAACGAUGUGGACUAGGUGUCCUAGCACUCAUGUAGUGCAGGGGUGCCGAAGCGAAGGCGAUAAGUCCACCGCCUGGGAAGUAUACUCGCAAGGGUGAAACUUAAUGGAAUUGGCGGGGGCGCACUACAAGGGGUGGAUGCUGCGGUUUAAUUGGAUGAAACGCCAGAUAUCUUACCAGGGGCGACAGCAGUAUGAUGCUCAGUCUAAAGGGCUUGGCUGACACGCUGAGAGGUGUUGUAUGGUCAUCGUCAGCUCGUACUAUGAAGCGUCCUGUCAACUCAGGCAACGGGCGAGACCCACACCAAUAGUUGCUAUCUUUGGAUUUUCCAAAGAGCACUCUAUGGGGACUGCUAGGGUAACCUUGAGGAAGGAGUGGUUAACGGUAGAUCUGUAUGGCCCGAAUCUCCUGGGCAACACGCGGCAUACAAUGGUUGGGACAAUGAGUUCCGAACCCGAAAGGGCAAGGUAAUCCCCUAAACCCAACCUCAGUUCGAAUUGAGGGUUGUAACUCACCCUCAUGAAGAUGGAAUCCCCAGUAAUCGCGCGUCACUAAUCUGGCACGGCCUCAGACUUUUUUGUCUGGUCAUGCUUGGAGUGAAAUCGCGCGGUGAAUAUGUCCCUGCGCCUUGCACACACCGCCCAUCAAGCCAGCCGAGUGGAGUUUUGAUGAGCAACAGUCCACCACGGAUUGUUGCGAUUCUGGGUUCUGCGAGGCGGGCUAAGUUGUAACAAGGUGUCCGUAGGGGAACCUGCGGACGGAUCACCUCCU